CGAAAACUGAGUUCCUAGACUAAAUCACAAUGGGAGGUGAAAUGUUAAAAUGGCAGACCUAUCAGAGGGUAAGUGAGAACUCAAAAACCACAAAGACCACAAAGAGAGGAAGUGGGGAAAGACCCGUUUUGUCCUCAGGUGACUUUCCCAAAACUAGGUCAAUUUCCUGAGUAAAUGGCUAGACUUUAGUCAUGGGCCCCUGAAAAUUAAUGGCAGAGGAAGUUCCUGAGUUGGAACAGUUUAUGGCAGUAAAGUUGUGCCCUGCUCUAAGUUACUCCAUAUUGUGUAAAACAGUGACUUUUAGCUGUUCCUUUUCUUGGGUGACCCCAUUUAACAAAGGAAUUUUGGGCUCCAUUUUUGAAAGCCAACGCAGAAGAGGAUGAUUCUUCUAUAUUUUGCAGCACAUGUAGAAACCAUCUUCUGUUUAGCACCAACCCUGAAGCAGACUGAUAAAUAUCUUACUCCUAAGACUGAAUGGCACGGCACGCUCUCCUGAACUCCAUAAAGACACCUAACACCAGGUCGAUGGCAGCCCCAACGAUGAGUCAUCUGAGCAGUGUGUGUACCAAGGGACUGACAGCUCAAGAACUGUUGACUGCCCCUGUGGCUUGGGCUCAGCUUUGUCUCCACUACUUACUUGGCAAGGCUUACUUGAUAUCCUCCCUAUCCAGCCAUUCCUUCGUCUAUCCAGACCCCACACUGGACCUCAUCUCCACAGUCCUAUGCCUCUGAGGCUCAGCUGGACCCCCCUGCAACGACGCCACUUAGCUCUGUGCUUCCAGUAGCUUUCAAACUGGGUUCUUCUCCAGAUAGAUUGCUAAUCUUAUCUAACCACCCAUGGUGCUUCUUUCUUGAAUCCAUACUAGCUCUCUGCCUAUGCCUCCAGUAAGGUCCUUUUAAACUUCUUAAACUCUGAAGCCUCUAUAUCCUCUUUCUAGACAUUCUGAAACUUUCACAUUUGUGGGUGAGAGGAUGGAUGGGUGGAUGGAUUCACCAUGAGACAUGUAAUGUGCACAAAGUCGAGAGAUUUUAGUAGCUAAGAUUGUAAUAAAACAAUCUGUGUUUGCCUGCAGCCAGCUGUCAAGGGAAAUCAGGACGGCUUGGCAAAUUGCAGGCAACCAAAGGAAGCAAUGUCACUUGUGACUUUCUUGCUAUUUAAUGAGUUCUGACAUUGGGUAAAGACACAGGUGUGCCUGUCUGUGUCUCUGACAGAGGACACUUAAAACAGACCUGAUCUGUGAAUUGCUUGGGAGACCAAAUAUUUAGGAGUAAAUUGGGAAACGGACCCAUGGAACUCUACCUUACUUCCUUGGAGACAUCCUUAUUGAUGCUAUGUUCUUUUUUUUUUUUUCUUUUCUUUUUUCUUUUUUUUUUUUUUCUGCUGUGGAAAGGCCAUGCAUAGAAUGAAGGUCUUAUGAGGUCAUAAUUUCACCAUUCCUAAAGGUCACACAAUCAAAAGCUUUCAGACUCCAUUCAAUCCAGUCUGACUGUCCAUCUGGCUCUCACACCCCAUCCAUCGUUUUCCUGUCAAGUGAUCCAACUGCCUUAUACCUAAAAACAAAGCGAAGCCAACCUAACAGUCUGGAGGAAAAUCAGGGACAUCAACACAGGCAUGGUGGUGGGGCUAACCAUUAAGGAGAAAAUCAGUUACAAAAGAACAACCACCUAAGAAGUAUCUUUCAGAGACCUUCAGAGACAACUCUGCCAAUGGAGCCGGGAACUAACGCUCACCGGACAAGGGAGAAGAGAGAGCAGUCUGCAUUUCUAAAUAUCUCUGCAAAUAUAAUUCUUCUAGAGAUGUGGAAAAGUUUUAAAAAAUUAAGAAUAUUUAUUUUGGGAUGGAGAGGUGGCUCAGUGGUUAAGAGCACUGACUGCUCUUCCAGAGGUCCUGAGUUCAAUUCCCAGCAACCACAUGGUGGCUUACAACCAUCUGUAAUGGGAUCUAAUGCCCUCUUCUGGUGUGUCUGAAGACAGAGACAGUGUACUCACAUACAUUAAAUAAAUAAAUCUUUUUUUUUAAAAAAUG